CUUUUAAAACUUUUAUGCUACUUCUUAAACUUUUUGAUUAACUAUGCUAAGUUGUAUAGAUGCACAGUGAAAGUUAAACUUAGCAAGGGAUUGAUGUAUAGACUUCGACUUGAUUAAAUAUGCUUGCAACUAAGGGAAGUGUGGAUAAGAAUUAAGCAAGCAAUUUAUCUAAGUAAGUAAGUGUGUUAGUUAGACAAUAACUAGAGGCAUUACAAACACAAAGGACAUAUAGUGGUUCGGUGCACCCCAGUACCUACAUCCACUCCCCAAGACCUCUUGGGAAUUUCACUAUAAUCCUACCGAUUACAGCCGGUUGUUUUACAAGCUCACAACCCAACUUGUUGUUUUACGAGCGCACAACGAACUCGGUCGGUUUUUCCAGGCUCACCGACUAGAACCUCCCCGAUUGUUUU
rnacentral:lncRNA from 1 species